rnacentral:rRNA from 1 species
GACAGAGGAUGCAAGCGUUAUCCGGAAUGCUUGGGCGUAAAGCGUCUGUAGGUGGCUUUUUAAGUUCGCCGUCAAAUCCCAGGGCUCAACCCUGGACAGGUGGUGGAAACUACCAAGCUAGAGUACGGUAGGGGCAGAGGGAAUUUCCGGUGGAGCGAUGAAAUGCGUAGAGAUCGGAAGGAACACCCAAGGCGAAAGCACUCUGCUGGGCCGACACUGACACUGAGAGACGAAAGCUAGGGGAGCAAAUGGG